UACAGAGGGUGCGAGCGUUAUUCGGAAUUACUGGGCGUAAAGCGCGCGUAGGCGGCUUUGUAAGUCGGUUGUGAAAUCCCCGGGCUUAACCUGGGAACUGCAUCCGAGACUGCAUAGCUAGAGUAUGGGAGAGGGAAGUGGAAUUUCAGGUGUAGCGGUGAAAUGCGUAGAUAUCUGGAGGAACACCGGUGGCGAAGGCGGCAUCCUGGACCGACAUUGACGCUGAGGCGCGAAAGCCAGGGGAGCAAACGGG
rnacentral:rRNA from 1 species